rnacentral:lncRNA from 1 species
ACAGCACUUACUGAAUGCCCACCCCGUGUCUGCCAGCAGGGAGCUGGAGGAGAAAGCAUCUCUGCAUUAGGGGCUCCAGACAGAGACAUGAGACAAUGGAGAUGGCACCAAGAAGUGCAGUUUGGACAUCAAACAUGAAUCGUUGGUUUGUGUCUGCAGCACUGCAGCCAACACUUCUGGAGCACAAGGCUCUGCAGGGAAGGAUUCUGGAGCCCCCAUUCAUCUGAAGGGCAUCCGAGGAGGUUCUGUCUUGUUUAAUGCGAUCGAGAAGCUCAGAGUAGAUGUAGGCACUGAGUUGGAGGAGGUUCUAUGGGCUUUGGGCGCUCUGACAAAUCAUACACAGUUGCUGCGAGUCCGCAGGGGGGCCGACUCUCCAACCUGGUUGAAACUCCAGGACAAGUUCAAGCAGAGGGUCCAUGUACCCAGCAUGUCAUCCCUGAGGAUUGAGAACCUGGCCCCUGAGGACAGCGGGCAGUAUUUUGCCAACAUCACCUCUACUAAGGGAGAGGGGAUUUUCCAGGUUUUCUACCUCACUGUCUAUGGUGAGUGACACCCCUUUCUCCUCCAUCCUCUGGCUUACCUGCUUUUUUUGUCCCUAGA